GGGAAUUUUAAAAAAAAUCCAAAAUCCUCUAGAAUUCUACUUUCAAUACACCCCUCUAAAUAAAAAGUAUGGGAGACAGUUUGACUCAACGAGAGAGUGGGCAGCUACUAACUCCACACCACACUCUUGCAUUAUUUUUUUGUGUGCUUCUUCUUGAUAUUCUUUACAGUAUUUCUAUAGCACGGUAUGGUUGUAACCCGAGAGCUUCAAUACUGAACCACUUGGUCCUUAAACAUCACACAAACUAUUAACACCAGCUAGAUUUAGAGCAAUGAUUCAAAACAAACCUAUAUGUCUAUCGAUUCACAAGAGAUUCUCAUUUCCUGACCCUUAAAGUUUAAGCUUAGUUAGGAAGAGAUGAUAACCAACAGGAUUGAUAUGCAAAAACUAAUUCACACGAUAACAUAUUUCAAGAUAAUAACAAAGUUAUCCCUUUGAAUGUGUUGUUUCAAAGGAAUAAAUUAGAGCAUAUGCUUGAAAUGGCUUAGCUUAAGCUUAGUUAUAUGAUAAGAAGAAGAUUCCACUCUUCAUCAAUCCUGUAUUGAGUCCAGUCAGAUGUGGCAAAUCCAAAUAACACAAAUAGCAUCAACACAUGAAAUAUGCUAAUCUAUGCCUUUGGCUAUUUCAGCGAUGCAACUCACCAUAUAAGAUGCUUUGAUUGAGUUCUGGUUAGUGCGUUAGUAAAGAAGGUCAGUAAGCUCAAUUCCAGGUUCUAGCAUAUAGUUAAAUGCUUGUGAAGCAAAAUGGGAGACACGUCUAUUAGAGAGCACAACAUAAACCUUCUGUCUGCCACAAUUAACACGAAUCAAGUUCUUGGGUACAAAAUGUAGAGAAGAAGUAAAUUAUACCUUAGAAAUGUUCUCUGUCCAUAUCAUAUGCAAACACAGACAAAAGGAGGUUAGACUGGUGAAGCUGAUGCAUUUGUGAUCAAAGAAUAGAUAAGCCAACAAGUGAUUUUGCCAAUCUUUAGUUUCAAGUCUAGCCACUGAAUCCACCAUGCUAGAGAAAUGCGUAAGUUGAUAUGUAUAUUACUGACCACAUACACAUCAAUCUCACAUGACACACAUAAAAAAUGGAAGCAAACAGAGCUAUUGAUAUAAAUAUAUGCUCUUCGAUCAUCGAGCUAGAAUUCUCCAGUUAAGCUGACUAGUAAUUCUACAUGCAUACAAAAUUGAUUUUACCUGAUUCUACACUUCCAAAGUUGUAACUAGAUACUUGAACUUUCUUCUUACUUGAUACUAAUAUCAACUUAUAGCAAAAGUUGGAAACACACAAAACCAGGUUGUUAUUAAAGCUUUAUAGCGAGACUGUUUUCUCGUGUAUGUCUUUUGGUGAAGCCAAUGUGCAAAUCCAAGAAAAAAAGAUGAGGCCAGCUUACGUGGUAUUGCACAAGAAAUAUUAGAGAAGGUAAUUAACAACACUUUUGCUAACAUAGUAUUGUUUCUAGAUUAACCUAAACGCUUACAAAUGCUCUAAUAUAAUCAUAGUAAUAACAUUUUUCAGUUCACCGAUCUAUCUAUGAUCAAGUAAGACAACAUAGUAGCCUAUCACAUUAGAUGGAGCAUCAGUUAUAUAUAUGGGAGUUCAAUCCCUAGUUACGAAAACAAGAUACUACAAAUCAAAACAAGAUAUAAUUUAGAAUCUUUCAGACGGUUUAGGCACAUAAUCAUCUCUCUAUCUCUCUCACAAAGUAUGAAAUGCUUUUUCAAACUCAUCGAUUAAACUACUUCAAGCACAUGAAGAACUACAGAAACAACACAGUAAUCACAAUAACCUACACCAGCAUAGAAAAACCUGGGGUAACACCUAGACUGUGAUGUAAACCAAAAAUCUAUGCUGUCUCUACUUGUUAUCUGUUUUGUGACUUCAUAGAAUGAUUUCAACAGAGAGAACAUUAGACACUAAUGUAAUAAAGCAAAUCUAAAAUUUAAUUUUAGCAGACACAACACAAAGGCUAAGUGGACUUAAAUGUUUCGUUUGACCUCAUGAUAAUCAUUGCAAUUUUAACCACAGAUUGCAAAGGACUCGCUAUUGACAAAAACUGAUUCCAAGACAUUAAGUAUAAGCUUAGACAACAAAGAUAAAAUCAUGAGUUGUCAUCAAUUAUGCAACUUGAGAUCAACCAUUUUGAGUAGGAAAAAGAUAACUGUUUCAGCAUUUGUUCAUCUCCACUGUUAUCUAGUUCACGACUUCAUUUGUGGAUCUCAAGGUGAAGCACAUUCAACACCAGUACCAAGAGACCUGUUCACAAUUGGAUUUCUUCAAACACAACACAAAGACGUUACUUACUUGAAUGGUUGACACUUGACACAUGGCACACUUGACUUAUUCAAGGAACAUCAUAAAGCCAACAUUCUAAAAGAGCCCCAAAAAGACACCAACUCAUUCCUUUGCUUGAACCCAAUAUAAUGCAUAUAGUAAUCAAAACAUACUAAGCAAAAUCACUGCAAAACUAGGCUUCUAAAUGCAAAGUAACUGUUUUAAUUAUUAAAAAAAAAGACUAAUAACAGACAUAAACAUCAAGCUUGGCCAACACAAGAAAAAAAAAAAGAUCAAAC
rnacentral:lncRNA from 1 species